GCGCCCAAUCAAGUGAAUGGUGCCUUCCUGCUCGUCUGCAGGGAGGUGAAACGGGAAGCCGGUGACGUGCGCGAUAGCCAUCGCGCGCCAGUCCGGCGCAGCCCCCGCUGCUGUAAGCCUGACGACCCCGGUCGAACGCCACUGUGCCCCGUGCACGGGAAGGCAGGACCGGGGAAGGAAGACGGCGAGCCAGAAGACCGGCCAUCCACGAUGCAUUCGC
rnacentral:ncRNA from 2 species